GCGGGAGAGCCUCCCCGCUCUGUCCCCGCCACCUUCUUUGCAAUUCUGCUGGAAAACUGGGAUCCCAAAGCAGGACAUGCUUCAGCAGCUAGUGUUCAGUUGUGUGGUGUUUUACAGACAAGCAUAAUUUGAGGCUUUAUGUGUUCUCAUCAUGUGUCUUAAAACCCUGUGCCUGCACUUCUUUAUUCUGCCUCUUUGCUGUGCUCAGCCCUCUCUUCCCAGCAUUUGAGUGAUGAUGGGAACCUUCCUGUCUGGAGACUCCUAGUCCUCUGGCUAAGCCCUGCUGUUUCAUGCAAGCCAGAGGUGGUAGGAAGCUGGAAUCCCUGACGGUCCAUUUCCCCCUCCCCCGAAGGCUCGUGCGAGGCGUGGGUGAUGAGGGGGACGCGGAACUGUCCCCCCCCACUUCUCCAGCAUUCCUCAUUUGCUUUGCGUCCCCCUCAUGAAUUCUCUGCUCACUUACGCACAGGAAAUGAGACUUCGACAUUCAGGCAGGGUAUUGUUCAUUUCAAAGAGAGCUGUAUUUUUAAAACUCUGGAUUUUGUUUUGCUUUCCUUCGCUUUUGUUUUAAUUAAAAAAAUUUCUGUUCCCUGCCAGGUCCCAUAAAGGAAGUAGAGCAAACGGGUCUCUUGGGCUCAUAGACACAUGAUCAAGAGGGACCUUUCUCUUUACUGCCUUUGCCAGUGGGCGACGGGGUGCAGAGGAGGAGAGCACCCCUAACUCUGACAGCUCCUUUGCUGCCCAGACGCCCGUUUCCACAUGUGUCCUCUGCGUCUCCUGCCUGGCUCCCUCCCUUCUCCCUCUAAUCCCUGCCUUCUCUCUAAUUGCUGUUUAGUGGGGAUCGUCCACCUGUUGGCGAGUGUAAAAGUCCCUCAGGUCAGUCUUCAGCUCCUGCUCCUCCACCUCGGCUUAACCCCUCCGCCUCCUCGCCCAAUUUUUUUAAGUACCUCAAACAUAACUCAAGUGGAGAACAGAGUGGGGAUGCUGUGCCAAAGAGCAUCUCCUACCGUAAUGCCCUGAGGAAAAAACUUCAUUCUUCUUCCUCUGUGCCAAAUUUUCUAAAAUUUCUGGCUCCUGUAGAUGAAAAUAACACCUCUGACUUUAUGACCGCAAAAAGGUAGGGUUUAAUUUAGAUCUGUCAAGUCUGGGUAGAAGUGUUGAUUGUUAGACCUACUGGGGUUUUUCAGCUGUUCUUUUUGCCAUUUGAAAACUCGUUUUCACGAGAUCUGUUGUAUCUUCUUUAUUAUACUUUUUUCUUACUGAAUGCGAUUUUGAAAAAUGAGUCAACCUGUUAUCCAGUUUUGACUGGGAUUAGUUUAUUAAUGUUGUCGUUUUUAGCAAAUUAAAGAAAGUCUUAUUGAAAAACUUAUGGUGGGAGUUCCUGUCGUGGCGUGGUGGUUAA
rnacentral:lncRNA from 1 species